GAUGAACGCUGGCGGCGUGCCUAAUACAUGCAAGUCGAGCGAACAGACUAUGCGCUUGCUCCUUUCACGUUAGCGUCUGACGUGUGAGUAACUCGUUGAUAACUUACUUAUCUGACUGGUAUCACUUCGUGAAACCGGAGCUAAUACCGUAUUAUAUCUUGAUCCUCAUUGUUCAAUAGUGAUAGACUGUUUUGCUGUCUCUUAUCGCUGCAUCCGCGCCGUAUUUGAUAUUUGGUAAUGUAACGGCUUACCAAGGCAAUGAUGCGUAGCCGACCUGAGAGGGUGAUCGGCAACACUGGAACUGAGACACGGUCAAGACUCCUACGGGAGGAAGCAGUAGGGAAUCUUCCGCAAUGGGCGAAAGCCUGACGGAGCAACGCGGCGUGAGGGAUGAAGGUCUUCGGAUCGAAAAACUCUGUUAUUAGGGAAAAACAAAUGUGUAAGUAAAAAUGCACGUCGUGACGGUACCUGAUCAGAAAGCCACGGCUAACUACGUG
rnacentral:rRNA from 1 species